AAGCGUGUAGGUGUGUGUUCCAGGUAAAUCCGGUUCACUUUAACACUGAGGCGUGAUGACGAGGCACUACGGUGCUGAAGCAACAAAUGCCCUGCUUCCAGGAAAAGCCUCUAAGCAUCAGGUAACACGAAAUCGUACCCCAAACCGACACAGGUGGUCAGGUAGAGAAUACCAAGGCGCUUGAGAGAACUCGGGUGAAGGAACUAGGCAAAAUGGUGCCGUAACUUCGGGAGAAGGCACGCUGACACGUAGGUGA
rnacentral:rRNA from 2 species